AUGACCGUGAACCAGACUGGUCUCUGCUCUCGAGGAACUUCCAAUCUAGUGGGAAGAGCCAUGUGAAUUUCAAACGGGCAUAUAUGACACUUGCUGAGCACCUGCUUUAUGCAAAGCACUGGGGAUACAAAAAGAAAGAUGUGCGCACUGCCCUCCAGGAGCUCCCAGCCCAGUGCAGGGAGGCAGAGAGGUACACAGAAAGCUAUCGUAUCUAUCACGAGAUUAGCACAAUUGUCAAUUUUCUUCACUGAUGCACCCCCAGUGCCUAAAACAGUGCCUGGCACAGGGCAGUUGCUCAGUGAAUGUGGAAUGAUGAAUCAAUUCAAGGGUAUUAUGGAAUCACAGACUGAGGAUGGGGGAGGCCUCUGGAAAGUAACAUAGGAGCUGAGGGUCGAAGGGCUGAGUAGGAAAGAACCAGUGCACAUCUGGCCUCUUCCACAAGGCUUUAAGGCUCUGCAAGAUCAGCUUGUGGCUAAUUCAUCGUUGUGCCUCUUGGUGCCUAGCAGUGGGCACUGUACUUAAUAGGUGUCAACCUCUCAGAAAUGAAACUUAAAGAUCCUGCUUUAAAAAACAAAAAGCAAUUCAGCAUCAUAGGCACAAAACUAACUUAGGUCAUCUGAGUCACCCAAGCCCUUCAGCCAGUUCACAGUGAUGGGUCUCACAAUGAUGCCAUCCCCAAAGAGCCUGGCAUGGUUUCCAAAGUUCCUUGCAGCGCUCUAUGUAGAGCUGGCAAACACAGAUUAAUUCAGCCCAUCUGCUUUGGUCCUCAUCCACAUAUUUCAGAGCAGGUUUCUCAUUACCUUAAUCCAGAUAAUAUAUUCUUUGCAGCAAGAGACCAUGAAGACAGGUAGGUUCCUGUUUUCUAAAUAGUUCACAUUUUCACAAGAACGGAAGCCCAGCCUACAAGUGAGACAGUGUUGCAUAAGCAAUCAAAUACUCAAAUGGCCCCUGCUGGAGUCCCUUUCAGGGACCACACUUCUGAAGGAAAACACCGUGGCCUGAGUUCCGAGUCUAGAUCCAAGGCAGAGCUGUAACCCUGAGGACAUUGGGUGAAUACAUUUCGGGAAAUAUUUAUUUUGGGAAUAAAUUUCGAAAUAAUGUGCAUGGAGAACGCUUUGACACCUGUAAAAAUAGGUACAAACGCUCAUUUUUAUUUUAGCAACUACCCAUCUUCUAUUGUCAUUUCUCUCUUUGUUUGCUCCACAGACACUUGCUGAGCACUUGCUUUGUGCCAAGCACUGGGGAUACAAAAAGAAAGAGAUGCCCACUGCCCUCCAGGAGCUCCCAGCCUUGAGCACACCCCUCGUGCAUUGGUUCGGGGCCCUUGGAAUGCAACCUAAAGGUACAUUAUCUAAGAGGAAGAGGAAUCUCCAGAUUCCUAGAUGUAUCUUCUCUAAGCCAGUGCUGCUGACUUAACCUCAACUACCAGAGGACAACCUGAGCCACAGAAAGUCAUUUAAGUUGCAAAGGCAAAAAGAGCUCCUCCUGUAGCACGAUGGGUGGUGAAGUGCAUGCUGCCCAGGCCCAGACGACUAUGAGCUCUUGUCCUUGGGUCUAUCCAAGAAGAGGAAUGGAGCCCUGGGCCCAGGAUGGCUUAUACAUUCCCUGUCUGGAGACAGAGGCUGGGUGACCUCUCAGGACCCUCUCAGUUCUAUAACUCCACAGCCCACUAGGGUUGGGGUCUUCAUGGCUUGUAACUGGAGAUUUUGCUAAAAGCAGGUGCUACUGCAAAGUUGUGAGUGCAAACAGGCUUCUUUCUGCAAAACGCUCAGAUCUGAGAUUCAACAAUUGCUAUCGAGCCCUCUGACCCAGCCAGUAGCCAGCCUGCAGGGGACUGUUUCUGAAGCAUUUACACCGGGCGCCAGGUGAACAAGGAGGCUGACAGCCUAGCUGAGCUCCAGAAGCUCUGGCAUUUGGAGAACAUCUUCCCUUAUUUAAUGCUUAGCCUGUGCCUAAACUGACACACCUUACGUCAGGAUAGGGUGGUUGGGCAAGUGGGUGUGUGUAGAGGUUGCUGUACAAGUCAAAUGACAUUUUCUGCCUGAAGGAGAUCACAGAAUUAGGGAAUGUUGAGUUCAAAAUUCCUACAGAACAAUCUGCCUGCUGUACCAGCGUGUCAUUUCCCCAUUCUCCUUCCCCUUCUCCAACUACUGUUCAGUCUGUACCCCAUUAACCUGCCUUUGCUUUUCUUCAUUUUUUUAUGAUUACCUGUAAUUAUCUUAUUUGUUGGCUUUUUUAUUUAUCAGCUGUUUCCCCAAUCCCAAUAUAAGGUUCAUGAAAGCAGGGGCCUUGCCUGUCUGUGCCCCAGGCACCCAGUGCCUGGCUGGUAAGCACAUAUUGAAUAAUAAAUGAGCAUCCCAUGAACUCUA
rnacentral:lncRNA from 1 species